ensembl:lncRNA
UGGAACGAGCUCAUAAAGAGCACGCGCAUUUUUGCGGUCCGGAGCUGUAGGAGAAACACAAAUUACCUCAGACACACAGACUGAGGCGACAAAACCAACAUGGCUGGUAAGGACAUGAGGAGGAAACAGUAGGAGCUGUGUGAGGCUACUAAAGGCAGUGGAUCCCUCAGCAGCUGGAUUACAAAGAGCACAGUCUCAGAUCAACACAGCCCUGCCCUCCAGCACUAUCAGCAGCAGGAGCAGCAGCAACCCCUCAACAGCAACAUUGUACCCAUCAGCUUUGAGCACCCGCCCCUAUAAACGUCUCUGCACGGCCCUGACACAGUGACUCCACUAUAUAAACACUUCAUUGUGAGUAUGCAUCGUAUAUAUGAGUAUAUAUGAUUACACAC